AAGUUUGAUCAUACCAGCACUAAAGCCCUAGAUCCCAUCAGAACUCCGAAGUUAAGAGUGCUUGGGCGAGAGUAGUACUAGGAUGGGUGACCCCUUGGGAAGUCCUCUUAUUGCACUCC
rnacentral:rRNA from 15 species